rnacentral:rRNA from 1 species
AGACGUCUACAUUAGAUACCCCCGUAGUCCCAGCCGUAAACUAUGCGCGUUAGGUGUAUCGGUGACCACGAGUCACCGAGGUGCCGAAGGGAAACCGCGAAACGUGCCGCUGGGAAGUACGGUCGCAAGGCUGAAACUUAAAGGAAUUGGCGGGGAGCACCACAACAGGUGGAGCCUGCGGUUUAAUUGGACUCAACGCCGGGAAGCUCACCGGAUAGGACAGCAGAAUGAUUGCCGGGCUGAAGACCCUGCAUGACUAGCUG